CAACUGAUAACUAUCAUGGAUUAAUCUAUAUGAUUCAGAAAUAUUUGAUUCUAUUAUGAAUUUUCCUUCUUUUAGGUGAUGUGAAGACUGUAAAUUAGUUUGAAAUUCUUACAAAAGAGAAUUUUCUGAUAUUUUUUUGACAAGGGCAAUCAAAUACCAGUCUAUAGGCUUAUGUCAAAGCAGUGUUGAAUUUUCUUUAUAAAUGGGUUUGGGUAGCACUAAAUAGGAACAGACAGGUACAGUAAUAAGUGUUCAGUGCAGACUAACAACAGAUAUAGAUUUUUUUUCUUUCACAUACGUGCAUUGUUCAAUAACAGACCGUGUGGGUCGACAUGCUCAGUGCAUUAUCUGACUGGAAAUGCAUAAAGUUAUGCAGUAUAUUCAUCAUAUAUUUCUGACUAUUUCCCCACCACUGCCCAUCUUUCUUACCCCUUUUUAUACAAAGGAAAUGUAUUAUUUUGUAUCCUCAUGACUCAAGCUCACAAAAUGAAUGAUCAUGUUGAAUUUUGAAGAAAAAAUUUAUUAAUUUUUAAAGUAAAUCCACCAGCAAACUUAGUUGCAUUGUAAGAGUGUGUAUCAAAUCACUACCGUUUUGUGUAAAGUGUAUGUGUUCUAGCAACUCGAGUGAGUGGUGAUAAGAUACAUGUAAGAAAACAGUUUGUAUGUCAGUUACUAUUUGAGAUAUGUUUGUGCAAUUAUUUAUGAUUAAAUCUGGUGUAAACUACACUUUGUGACUAAGACAUUUGAUUUCUCUGUAUCAGUACUUAAAACUUUAAUUUAGUUUUUGCUGGAAGAGAAAAUGUUCAGUGGACGUACAGAAUUAACAUUUUUUCAUACAAAGAAUGAAAAUGGUAAAUAACAUGGUGUUGGGAGAAUUCUUUUAACUUGUGCAAAAAAAGUAUCCAAAGUUUUCUUUCUCUUCAUUUUACCCUUCCAGGUUGGCAAUAAUCAGUUGAUAUUUAGUAUCAAUUAAAUUUGAAAAGAUGCUUAGUACCACAAGAUCUAAAACUGGUAUGCUCAAUAUUUGAAUAGCAUAUUAUUGGGAGCAAAAGCAAGAACGAACAGAAAAUGAAAUCAAUGAAAACAGAAGUUAAAAAACUUGGUAUUUCACUUUUUGCACCAGAAGUGUAAUUUUGUGUAAAUGAAAUACCCAACAAAAUUGAUAUUUUGAGAAUAAGAAUUGGAGAGACCCAGUGGAAGAGCAAUCAUAAGGUGCUAUAUCCGUGGUUUAAUACUUUAAUUUCCAACAAAAUAUUUUGUCCACGAGCUUACAAAAAGUGGAUAGAAAGGAGUGAAUAGAAGUAAAAAUUGUAUCACUGAUUCUGAAUUUUGUUAAAGAACUUUUGAUCAAAGAUCAGUGCAUGUGAUAAGUCAUGUGAAUAGUUGUCCAAUAACUCAAAUUCAUAUCUAGCGUAGCACGUUUUGCAAUGAAUGAUACGGUUAUUUGGUUCUUAUAAUCAUGGCAAUGCAGUCAUCAAUGAUGUUUUAUCUAGAUGAGAUUGCAGAUUAUAAGUAAGUCAUUUUAAGUAAAUCGGUGAGGGGCUUGUUUCAUUUAACUCAUCAAUGACAAGUUACAACCUUCUUUUAUAAGCUUCUGAAUAGGUGCAAUUUCAUUGUCUGAGAGAAUUACAAUAUUGAAUUCUAGCAUUUGUUACAUGUUUUAUGAAAUGAACCAAGAUCUGGAAUGCUGUGUUCAACAAUAAAUACAGGACAAGCCUUGAUAUAGUUUUUUCAAAAUAUUGUAUACUUUAAUAUUCAAUACGCCAUAUUAAAUGUAUGCAUCCUAGUAGGUUACACAUUAAUCUAUUUAAAAAAAUUAACCACAACACUCGUGACUCCUCACAUUGCACAUCACAAAAUAUCACAUAAACAAAUUGUUUUAUCAUAUAAAUUUUGUGUAGAAAGGCAACCAUCAAUUUUAUGAAGCACUCUUGAAGAAAAAUAUACUGAAUUUUAAAUGUAUUAGGUUCACUGAAUUCCAUUAAUAAUAUUAAUUGAAUGAAAUAACUUGAAUAUCUGAUUAUGAAUUGAUAUUAGUACUGUAUGUUUUAUAGUGUAUAAAUUAUAUACCAUAUUCUAAAUUCUUGAAAAAAAUUAUUUAAUUGGACAUGUAUUUUAUAACUGACAUCUACAUCACAAGAGAUUAAAGACUUUCUUUUUUCUCAUUAAUUUAUACAAAACUACCAUCAUCAAGACUGGUCUUGCUUGAAUCUGGUAAACUUAGAGAGGGUAUAUGUUAAUAGGUGAUGAGCUCCAAAUACAUUGUUUCAUGGUGAAAUGACACAACAAAAUGAAUAAUGAAUUACCCUAAAGUAAUGACAUAUCACUGCUAUUCGUCAAUAGGGUUCCUAAAAGCAUAUCUUCUAGAACAUACAGUAUAUCCAAAUUGGACAAUAACAAAUCAAAUAAACUUGUUAACAAAAAAUAGUGCCAAAAGAAAUUAAUAUACACAACUCAUAUAAAAACAAACCAUGAAUAUAUUUUACUUAUGAAAAUGAAGUAACAUUCUAGGCAUACUGGUAUUCAAAACUCCAAUAUCAAACUCAUGAAUUCAAUUGAAAAGAAUAAAAACUCCAUUUACAAAACUGAAUGUUGACCAAUAUAGUCAAAGAGGCUGAAGUUUUUAUUUCUUAACCUGUACCUCACAGGGUAUUUUAAAAACAAAAGUAUUAGGAAACAUUUCCAUAGACUAAUAUACAUAUUUAAAGGUUCAUACUACCUUGUCUGAUGUGAAGGGUAUGUGUAGCUAAACAACAAGAGAAAACACACAAAAUGCAAGGUAUUUAAAUAAAAUCACAUUUUCACUCAAUCACUUGAAAUGCUAAAUAUCUUAU
rnacentral:lncRNA from 1 species